rnacentral:rRNA from 1 species
AUGGCCGUCCGCAAGCGGCCUGCCGCCGUCCACGCCCGCGCGACCACCACCAAAGGCUGCAAGAGGAGGCGCAUCCGGAUCGGCAGCACCGAGGACUACGAGUUCGACGACACGCCCUGCCUCGGCAAGGGCAGCUUCGGCACCGUCGUCAGGGCGCGCCACCGCGCCACCGGCAGGACCGUCGCGAUUAAGUUCCCCUGCGACUCCGAGGACCCCGCCGACGCCGCUGCCGAGCUCCGGCGCGAGGCCAGCUUCCUCGCGGCCUGCGCCGGGAACCCUUACGUCGUCGGCUCCCACGGCCUCGUCUGCGACCCGGCCACCCCAAGGCUCGGGCUCGCCAUGGAGUACGUCGCCGGGCCGACUCUCCACGGUUUCUUGCGGGAGAGGGCGCCGCUCCCGGAGCCCAUCGUGUGCGCCUACAUGUGGCGGCUGCUCACCGGCGCCGAGAAGAUGCACCGGCUCGGCAUCGUCCACCGCGACCUCAAGCCAUCCAACAUCCUCGUCGGGAAAGGGGGAAAGAUCCUCAAGAUUUGCGACCUCGGCCUCGCCAUGUCCCUGCGCACGGCCGACCGGACGCGGUGCAGCGACGCCGGCACGCUGCCGUACAUGGCGCCCGAGGUGCUCCUUGGGAAGCCGGACUACGACGCGGGGGCGGACACGUGGUCGCUCGGGUGCGUCAUGGCCGAGAUGCUCACCGGCAGGCCGCUGUUCAAGGGCGACGUGAGGAGGGACGAUCCGGUACGCCAGCUUCGCACUAUCUUCCGCGUCCUAGGCUCGCCGGACGACAGGACGUGGCCGGAGUUCACGUCGCUGCCGCUCGCCGGCGCGGUGCGGAGAUCGUUCCAGUUCCGGGAGCAGCAGCGCAGCACGCUGGGAGACCUCUUCCCCGCGGAGAUGCUGUCUGAGGACGGCUACCAGGUCCUGAAAGGGCUUCUUGAGUGCAACCCCGGCAAGCGGCUGACGGCCGCCGCCGCGCUCCAGCUCCCGUGGUUCAUGCCUGAGAUCGACGUCGGCACCAACACCGACGGCGCGUUCAUCCCGCCGGCAACUCCCAGGGAGGAGAAUCUGCUAAGGAUCCCACUUGAGAUGUGGAAGAAUUCGCAACGGCUUGAGUGUGCUUGA